rnacentral:misc_RNA from 1 species
GAUGAAGAACGUAGCAAAAUGCGAUAAGUAAUGUGAAUUGCAGAAUUCAGUGAAUCAUCGAAUCUUUGAACGCACAUUGCGCCCGCUGGUAUUCCGGCGGGCAUGCCUGUUCGAGCGUCAUUUCAACCCUCAAGCCCCCGGGUUUGGUGUUGGGGAUCGGCUCUGCCCUUCUGGGCGGUGCCGCCCCCGAAAUACAUUGGCGGUCUCGCUGCAGCCUCCAUUGCGUAGUAGCUAACACCUCGCAACUGGAACGCGGCGCGGCCAUGCCGUAAAACCCCAACUUCUGAAUGUUUACCUCGGAUCAGGUAGGAAUACCCGCUGAACUUAAGCAUAUCAAUAAGCGGAGGA